UUUACGGUGUAACACCACUAAUUCAGGCCCGGCCAGAAAGCACAUACCAGAAAGUAGUACAUAUUUAACACAAAAUAGUUCCUACGCAUGGACAUAACUUUCAAAAUAUUUAGAAUAUUUUAUUAAUUUUGGUAUCAAAUGAAAGCUGCAUGACUGGUGAUCAUUGCAGAACAAUUUUUGACUGAUAAAUUUGAAUAAUAAAAAAAUGGCAUGAAAUUUAAAAAGGAGGGUACAUUUUGCCUUUUUGUCAGAUCGGAAGUACCUGUUUUGGUACAUCCGAAGUUCCGGGAACCAGUUCUUUCUUAUAUGCAAUGUAAGGUAUGUUGAUUUUUUCAGUACAGGACACCAGAAGGUGUUGCUUUGACAUGCAAUGAUUGUCACUUUAUUUGAACUUAAGAUAAAAGAGCUGUGACCACUCGAAAUUGAGGAAUUUAACAUAGAAAGCAAUGGGGCCAUUAAUUAGUGGUGUACUUCCUUACUUUGAAAGUUGUUGACCUACUAAUUAAAGUAUUGCAUGUUGAUGUUUGAAUCAUCUACAGCAAACAAAAUUAUGUUUAAAUUUAACAAAUACCAAUUUUUAAUUAGUGCACGAUCUCUUAGAAUGAUUUAAAUAACCAGUGAAGGAUAUCUUUGCUUCUGUGUAGUGUGGCAUCCCAACAAUGACGUCACUAUAAUAUAAUGUAGGUUGGAUAUAUUUAGAAUAUAUCGUCAUACUGAUUUUAAACGUAAAUAGUGCAAAGGAGAGCUUAAGAUACGAUAACUUCACGAGAAACAGAAGGGAAAUGAGUAAAAAGUCAAUCUAUUCAUUUGUGUGUCUCCUUAUCACCAAUCUAAGUAAGAUUUGU
rnacentral:lncRNA from 1 species